GUGUUGGUGGUUUAGUGGCAGGGGUAUGCCCGGUCCCUUUUCGAACCCGGUAGCUAAGUCUGUUAAUCGCUGAUGGUACUGCAUGCGGGAGCGUGUGGGAGAGUAAGUCGCUGCCAACA
rnacentral:rRNA from 1 species